GGAGUGGCUCAGUUGGUAGAGUAGCUGAUUCGUAAUCAGCAGGUCGUGGGUUCGAGUCCCAUCUUCA
rnacentral:tRNA from 1 species